rnacentral:rRNA from 1 species
AACCUGCCCUUGUCCACGGGGAUAAACCCCGGGUGAAAAACCGGCCUAAUACCGUAUGAGGUCACAAGCGGACAUCCAACUGUGACGAAAGGUUUAGCGGACAAGGAUGGGGAUGCGUCCGAUUAGCUUGACGCGGGGUAACGGCCCACCGUGGCGACGAUCGGUAGGGGUUCUGAGAGGAAGGUCCCCCACAUUGGAACUGAGACACGGUCCAAACUCCUACGGGAGGCAGCAGUGAGGAAUAUUGGUCAAUGGGCGAGAGCCUGAACCAGCCAAGUAGCGUGCAGGAUGACGGCCCUAUGGGUUGUAAACUGCUUUUGUGCGGGGAUAAAGUGUGGGACGUGUCCCAUAUUGCAGGUACCGCAUGAAUAAGGACCGGCUAAUUCCGUG